GAAAGGGUGAUCGGCCACAUUGGCACUGAGACACGGGCCAGACUCCUACGGGAGGCAGCAGUGAGGAAUUUUGGACAAUGCCCGAAAGGGUGAUCCAGCGACGCCGCGUGGAGGAUUGAAGGUCUUCGGAUUGUAAACUCCUUUUGGAGGGGACGAAUAUCCGCUUUUGGCGGAAUGACUGUACCCUCAGAAAAAGUCACGGCUAACUACGUGCCAGCAGCCGCGGUAAUACGUAGGUGGCUAGCGUUACUCGGAAUUACUAGGCGUAAAGCGCGUGUAGGCGGUUAAAAAAGUCAAUUGUGAAAGCCCCUGGCUUAACUAGGGGAGGUCGGUUGAAACUUUUUAACUUGAGUGUGAGAGAGGAAACUGGAAUUCCCGGUGUAGCGGUGAAAUGCGUAGAUAUCGGGAGGAAUACCAAUGGCGAAGGCAGGUUUCUGGAUCAAUACUGACGCUGAGACGCGAAAGCUAGGGGAGCAAACAGGAUUAGAUACCCUGGUAGUCCUAGCUGUAAACGAUGUUCACUGGGUGUGGGUGGUAUCGACCCCUUCCGCGCCGAAGCUAACGCAUUAAGUGAACCGCCUGGGGAGUACGACCGCAAGGUUGAAACUCAAAUGAAUUGACGGGGGCCCGCACAAGCGGUGGAGCAUGUGGUUCAAUUCGACUCAACGCGAAGAACCUUACCUGGGCUUGAACCGCUGGUGGUAAAAACCCGAAAGGGUAAUGACCCGCAAGGGAGCCAGUAGAGGUGCUGCAUGGUUGUCGUCAGCUCGUGUCGUGAGAUGUUGGGUUAAGUCCCGCAACGAGCGCAACCCUCAUCCUAUGUUGCUAUUUCGCUUUUGGCGAAAGCACUCUUAGGAAACUGCCCCGGAUAACGGGGAGGAAGGUGGGGACGACGUCAAAUCAUCAUGGCCCUUAUGUCCAGGGCUACACACGUGCUACAAUGGACGGUACAAAGGGAAGCAAAACGGUAACGGAGAGCAAACCCCAAAAAGCCGUCCCCAGUUCGGAUUGUGGGCUGCAAUUCGCCCACAUGAAGGCGGAAUCGCUAGUAAUCGCAGAUCAGCAGGCUGCGGUGAAUACGUUCCCGGGCCUUGUACACACCGCCCGUCACACCACGAAAGCUCGCUGCAACAGAAGUCAGUGUUCUAUCUCACUUCGGUGAGGGGUAACUGCCCAAGUUGUGGUUAGUGAUUGGGGUGAAGUCGGAACAAGGUA
rnacentral:rRNA from 1 species